CAACUACUCCCUCUGUCCCAAACUUCUUGUCUUAGAUUUGUCUAGAUACGGAUGUAUCUAAUACUAAAAUGUGACUUGAUACAUCCGUAUCUAGACAAAUCUAAGACAAGAAUUUUGGGACGGAGGGAGUACUUU
rnacentral:pre_miRNA from 1 species